AUUGAACGCUGGCGGCAGGCCUAACACAUGCAAGUCGAACGCGUCGCUUACGGGUUAGUACUCUCUUGGUAACUGCCUGAUCGAGGGGGCUAACUACUGGCCACGGUAGCUAAUACCGCAUCCCCUCCGAUCUCCCCCGAUGGGUUUCGCUUGUUGGUGGGGUAACGGCUCACCAAGGCGACGCUCCCUAGUUUGUCUGAGAGGAGGACAAGCCACGCUGGAACUGAGACACGGUCCAGACUCCGACGGGAGGCAGCAGGGGGGAAUAUUGCACAAUGGGCGCAAGCCUGAUGCAGCCAGGCCGCGUGUAUGAAGAAGGCCUUCGGGUUGUAAAGUACUUUCAGCGGGGAGGCGGUACCCGAAGAAGAAGCACCGGCUAACUCCGUGCCAGCAGCCGCGGUAAUAG
rnacentral:rRNA from 1 species